AUGUACCUUCGAUGCGCCGUCCACGACACCCCGCGGCAAUGGCGCAAGUGGCUGCCGGCAGCGGAGUUCUGGUACAACUCCACGCACCACGCGUCCCUCAAGUGCUCGCCCUUCCGGGCGCUCUACGGCGUCGAUCCCAGCCUGGGCGGCUUGCCGCACUUCAGCACCGACUCGACUCCGAGCGCGCCCGUGGAUGAACUGGACUAG
rnacentral:rRNA from 1 species